UGGGGGAUAUUGCACAAUGGGGGGAACCCUGAUGCAGCGACGCCGCGUGGGUGAAGGAGUGCUCCGGCAUGUAAAGCCCUAUCGGCAGGGAAGAAGAAGGACGGUACCUGACUAAGAAGCCCCGGCUAACUACGUGCCAGCAGCCGCGGUAAUACGUAGGGGGCGAGCGUUAUCCGGAUUCACUGGGUGUAAAGGGAGCGUAGACGGCCAUGCAAGCCAGGGGUGAAAGCCCGGGGCCCAACCCCGGGACUGCCCUUGGAACUGGUUGGCUGGAGUGCGGGAGGGGCAGGCGGAAUUCCUGGUGUAGCGGUGAAAUGCGUAGAUAUCAGGAGGAACACCGGCGGCGAAGGCGGCCUGCUGGACCGCGACUGACGUUGAGGCUCGAAAGCGUGGGGAGCGAACAGG
rnacentral:rRNA from 1 species